rnacentral:rRNA from 1 species
GAUGAACGCUGGCGGCGUGCCUAAUACAUGCAAGUCGAGCGAACGGACGAGAAGCUUGCUUCUCUGAUGUUAGCGGCGGACGGGUGAGUAACACGUGGAUAACCUACCUAUAAGACUGGGAUAACUUCGGGAAACCGGAGCUAAUACCGGAUAAUAUUUUGAACCGCAUGGUUCAAAAGUGAAAGACGGUCUUGCUGUCACUUAUAGAUGGAUCCGCGCUGCAUUAGCUAGUUGGUAAGGUAACGGCUUACCAAGGCAACGAUGCAUAGCCGACCUGAGAGGGUGAUCGGCCACACUGGAACUGAGACACGGUCCAGACUCCUACGGGAGGCAGCAGUAGGGAAUCUUCCGCAAUGGGCGAAAGCCUGACCGAGCAACGCCGCGUGAGUGAAGAAGGUCUUCGGGUCGUAAAACCCUUUUAUUAGGGAAGAAAAUAUGUGGAAGAAACCGUGGACGUUUUGACGGUACCUAAACAGAAAGCCACGGCUAACUACGUG